UCAGUUUUCAACCCUAACCCUAAGCUCUCUCCUCAUACACGUCCCUCUCACUGCCUCCCUCAUUCUCCGGCGGAGUGGAGAGAGAAGUCACUUUCCGUCGAGUCCUGCUUAGAGCCUGUUCUGCUCGCCCCCUCAGCUCUGUGAUCUUCACCACCGCCAUUCUCAGCUCUUUCUUCUUUGAUGCUAACUCACUCGGCAAUUCUGCACCCACAGCCACCACUGCGAUUUCACCAUUCUUGUUCUUCAUGUUCAUUCUCACUUCUUCAGAUUUAGAUCUAGUUCCAGAUUCGAUCCUUGUUAUCAUAUUCAAUUCGCCCUAGGAAUCUUAAUUUUCAUGUUCUUCGUGAAUGUCAAUCUGUGCUCCUAAAAUUGUGAUUUCAGUAAUGUGAUCUCCACCUAUGAUUCAAGAUCCUUGCAAAGAGAGACAUGGACCUUGUUACUUCUCAAGCAUGGUUAUUAGAAAGUGCAGAGUUGGUGGAAAAACUUUGUAUUUUAUAGACCUAUGCGUGUCGGCUCUCUUUUUAUAAGGAAAAAGAAGAUGCUACGCUAGUAAAAUCGAAAAUUUGAAUGGAUCUGCUUACAAUCAAAUUAAAGUUGCUUUUUAUAGUGAACAAUUAAGCUUGCAAUGAACAAUAUGUUGUGAAAUUUGGGAAAAAGUAUUUGCUCUUUUGAUGUGUAGAAGUAUAUUACAGCGUAGAAGUUUAUUUAAGUUGAUUUGGCUUUUAAAGUUUUUUAUUCUGUUACUGCAUUGAAUAUAGAAUUUAAUUUUGAUUCACUGGUAAAACCGUUUUACAUGUACAUCUAACGACAUGUCAAUAAAAAUAGUUACCUUUAUGUUGAUGGAGUGAAUGAUUAUUCAAAAGAAUGGAUGUAAUUUAAUGACUGUGUAAAAUUAACCUCAUCAAAUAUAACCUCUCUAGGUUGUUAGAUACUUGAAUUUUGAAGUAUGGCGAUAUUUGCUCUGUGUUUUUUCUCCUCUUUUUAUUGAAUUUGACAAAUAUAUAGAUAAAGUUAUUUUGAAAUAUGUAAGUUGGUUAUAAGAUAUUUCCUGUGCUGCUUCUGUCCUCUUGUAAGAAAAUGCAAAAUUGAUCAAUAACAGGUCUCGAAAAUGAGCAUUCAACAUAAAAUCCCGUCAGAGUAUACCUGUAUGGUGCUUGUGGAGAACAGUGAUGGGAAGAAGGCACCUGAACCAAUGCUAAUUAAGAGGGUCCAUAUUAGAAUUUUUGGUGACAAAAAAGGCUAAGCUAUUCAACAACUCAUGGAGCAAACAAUAAAAAAAGUGCUGCAGCUAUUAUAUGUGUUUGUUGUUAUUUAAGAGGGAUUAGUAAUCAUUCAGAUACUUGCGGACGCUUUGCCUAAAAUUGUUUCUUAUGUUUUGAUCAACCGUCAUGAGGAGCUAAUUCCGCUAAUCAUAUGUGCAAUCGAGAACCAUCCAGAUAGCAGCACUCGCGAUUCCUUGACUCAUACAUUGCUUAACUUGAUCAAGCGCCCUGAUGAACAACAAAAAAGAAUAAUAAUGGAGGCAUGUGUUAGCCUUGCAAAGAAUGUGGGAGAGAUGAGAAUAGAAACAGAAUUGCUUCCUCCUCAAUGUUGGGAACAAGUAUUUUCUGGCUGGAAUUGAGGGACCUGAGCAAAAAUUUGAUUCAGAGGCUG